GUAGGUGGCCAUAUAACCUUGUUAGAUUUACGAAGCUAAGCAGGGCUGGGCCUGGUUAGUACCUGGAUGGGAGACCACUGGUUUUACCAAGGUACUACA
rnacentral:rRNA from 1 species